UGUAACCCUUAAGACCUCGGGAACCCUCGCCCUUUAGGCGGGGAGGAGGUCAGGUUUUGCGGGCUACAUGGUUCGCCGA
rnacentral:scRNA from 1 species